rnacentral:rRNA from 1 species
UACGUAGGGGGCAAGCGUUGUCCGGAUUUAUUGGGCGUAAAGCGCGCGUAGGCGGCGCGGUAUGUCGUGCGUGAAAUCUCCUGGCUUAACUGGGAGGGGCCGUGCGAAACUGCCGGGCUUGAGGUCGGAAGGGGAAAGUGGAAUUCCGGGUGUAGUGGUGGAAUACGUAGAUAUCCGGAGGAACACCAGCGGCGAAGGCGGCUUUCUGGUCCGAUACUGACGCUGAGGUGCGAAAGCGUGGGGAGCGAUCCGG